rnacentral:lncRNA from 1 species
AGGAGGCGUGGGGCUAUUUUCUGAAGAAAUAUGGUGCCUCAAACCUUCCUAAAGAGAUUAGGAUGAAAUCCUUAAUUUGUAGGGAUGUAUGGCGCAAAAACAGAAGAUGGCAUGCGACUGAAGUCGGGGCGCAUGAACCCCCAAUUUUUAGGGAUUCAAAGUGCACCAAAAAGAGGGAUAUUCAUCUCCUCUUAGCUGCCAUAUUUCACAAAAUUUUUGGAAUUUUUAUCAGCCAAAAUUCGAUGGUUAAAUGAGGUGUGAGGCGUGGGGGUCUUUUGGCUAUAAAAGGACCCCAAUGCCUAAGGUUUGGGCGUGAGAAUUUUUUGAGAGACCUAAAGAUUCUAAAAAAUUCUGAAACCAGCUGCCUCCACUUUUCUCCUUCCUCUCCUUCAUCUCCAUCCUUCCUCCCUUUGAAGAAAAAUCAAAGAUUGAGUGCUUUGAAGGAAAAAGGAUCAGCUAUUGCAGCACCUCUGCAUGAGCUAGCACUUUCGUGGAGGAAGAUCUUCCUAGAGCUUCACGUGGACUAUCCGUAGAGGGUGGAUGCAUGUGCGGCUACAGAAGGUGAUCAAGGCAUCAUCAAAGUCCUCAAAGCAAAAAAGUAUGAGAUUUGAUCUCAUUAGAAAU